rnacentral:rRNA from 1 species
AACGAACGCUGGCGGCAUGCCUAACACAUGCAAGUCGAACGAGACCUUCGGGUCUAGUGGCGCACGGGUGCGUAACGCGUGGGAACCUGCCCUUAGGUUCGGAAUAACUCCCAGAAAGGGGUGCUAAUACCGGAUAAUGUCUUCGGACCAAAGAUUUAUCGCCUUUGGAUGGGCCCGCGUUGGAUUAGCUAGUUGGUAGGGUAAAAGCCUACCAAGGCGACGAUCCAUAGCUGGUCUGAGAGGAUGAUCAGCCACACUGGGACUGAGACACGGCCCAGACUCCUACGGGAAGCAGCAGUGGGGAAUAUUGGACAAUGGGCGAAAGCCUGAUCCAGCAAUGCCGCGUGAGUGAUGAAGGCCUUAGGGUUGUAAAGCUCUUUUACCCGGGAUGAUAAUGACAGUACCGGGAGAAUAAGCUCCGACUAACUCCGUG